rnacentral:rRNA from 1 species
CCUACGGGUGGCAGCAGUGGGGGAUAUUGCACAAUGGGGGAAACCCUGAUGCAGCGACGCCGCGGGAGUGAAGAAGUAUUUCGGGAUGUAAAGCUCUAUCAGCAGGGAAGAAAAUGACAGUACCUGACCAAGAAGCCCCGGCUAACUACGUGCCAGCAGCCGCGGUAAUACGUAGGGGGCAAGCGUUAUCCGGAUUUACUGGGUGUAAAGGGAGCGUAGACGGUUAGGUAAGUCUGGAGUGAAAGCCCGGGGCCCAACCCCGGGACUGCUUUGGAAACUGUGGAACUGGAGUACAGGAGGGGCAGGCGGAAUUCCUGGUGUAGCGGUGAUAUGCGUAGUUAUCGCGCAGAACUCCGAUUGCGAAGGCAGCGUACCGGCGCCAGACUGACGCUGCGGCACGAAAGCGUGGGGAUCGAACAGGAUUAGAUACCCGAGUAGUC